UACGAAGGGGGCUAGCGUUGUUCGGAAUUACUGGGCGUAAAGCGCACGUAGGCGGAUCUUUAAGUCAGGGGUGAAAUCCCGAGGCUCAACCUCGGAACUGCCUUUGAUACUGGGGAUAUCGAGUCCGGGAGAGGUGAGUGGAACUACGAGUGUAGAGGUGAAAUUCGUAGAUAUUCGCAAGAACACCAGUGGCGAAGGCGGCUCACUGGCCCGGUACUGACGCUGAGGUGCGAAAGCGUGGGGAGCAAACAGG
rnacentral:rRNA from 1 species